UUGCUCACUUUGGCAGCAAAUGUACUGCAAUUGGAAUGACAAAUAGAAGAUUUGCAUGGCCCUUGUGCAAGGAUCACCCAUAAAUUCAUAAAGUGUCUAUGUUUUUU
ensembl:snRNA U6 U6 spliceosomal RNA